AAUGCAUUUCGGCCAAAACUCAUGGAAAAUGAGUACGGAGGACCCAAUCAUUUGGGGUUAAUUCUGCCUUGCAGAAGGGAUGAGAUCAGCUCUUUCGCCAUCCUACCCGUCAGCUAACUUCGUCGGCUAAAGCGAAGGAGGUC
rfam:Bacillus sp. FJAT-22058 super1, whole genome shotgun sequence.